AUUGAACGCUGGCGGCAGGCUUAACACAUGCAAGUCGAGCGGGGUGAUGGUGCUUGCACUAUCACUUAGCGGCGGACGGGUGAGUAAUGCUUAGGAAUCUGCCUAUUGGUGGGGGACAACAUCUCGAAAGGGAUGCUAAUACCGCAUACGUCCUAGGGGAGAAAGCAGGGGAUCACUUGUGACCUUGCGCUAAUAGAUGAGCCUAAGUCGGAUUAGCUAGUUGGUAGGGUAAAGGCCUACCAAGGCGACGAUCUGUAGCGGGUCUGAGAGGAUGAUCCGCCACACUGGGACUGAGACACGGCCCAGACUCCUACGGGAGGGAGCAGUGGGGAAUAUUGGACAAUGGGGGGAACCCUGAUCCAGCCAUGCCGCGUGUGUGAAGAAGGCCUUAUGGUUGUAAAGCACUUUAAGCGAGGAGGAGGCUCUUUUGGUUAAUACCCAAGAUGAGUGGACGUUACUCGCAGAAUAAGCACCGGCUAACUCUGUGCCAGCCGCCGCCGUAA
rnacentral:rRNA from 1 species